rnacentral:rRNA from 1 species
UACGGAGGGGACUAGCGUUGUUCGGAAUUACUGGGCGUAAAGCGCCCGUAGGCGGCUUUGUAAGUCAGGGGUGAAAUCCCGGGGCUCAACCUCGGAACUGCCUUUGAUACUGCAAAUCUCGAGUCCGGAAGAGGUGAGUGGAAUUCCUAGUGUAGAGGUGAAAUUCGUAGAUAUUAGGAAGAACACCGGUGGCGAAGGCGGCCCACUGGUCCGGUACUGACGCUGAGGUGCGAAAGCGUGGGGAGCAAACAGG